rnacentral:SRP_RNA from 1 species
GGCUCAGUCCCGUGCGACAAAGAAUUGUGAAUCCCGCCAGGUUCGGAAGAAAGCAACGGUAAGCAAACCUCUUCGUGCGCUGCGGGAGCGCUGGGUCUCC